UACAGAGGUCUCAACCGUUGUUCGGAUUCAUUGGGCGUAAAGGGUGCGUAGGCGGUCGUGCAAGUCGGAUGUGAAAUCUCAGGGCUCAACCCUGAAACUGCAUUCGAUACUGCGUGGCUAGAGUUCUGGAGAGGCUAGGGGAAUUCCCGGUGUAGCGGUGAAAUGCGUAGAGAUCGGGAGGAACACCAGAGGCGAAGGCGCCUAGCUGGACAGAUACUGACACUCAACAACGAAAGCGUGGGGAGCAAACAGG
rnacentral:rRNA from 1 species